rnacentral:rRNA from 1 species
GACGGAGGAUGCAAGUGUUAUCCGGAAUCACUGGGCUUAAAGCGUCUGUAGGGGGUCAAAUAAGUCAACUGUUAAAUCUUGAGGCUCAACCUCAAAAUCGCAGUCGAAACUAUUAGACUAGAGUAUAGUAGGGGUAAAGGGAAUUUCCAGUGGAGCGGUGAAAUGCGUAGAUAUUGGAAAGAACACCGAUGGCGAAGGCACUUUACUGGGCUAUUACUAACACUCAGAGACGAAAGCUAGGGUAGCAAAUGGG